GACGAACGCUGGCGGCGUGCCUAAUACAUGCAAGUCGAGCGAACGGACGAGAAGCUUGCUUCUCUGAUGUUAGCGGCGGACGGGUGAGUAACACGUGGAUAACCUACCUAUAAGACUGGGAUAACUUCGGGAAACCGGAGCUAAUACCGGAUAAUAUUUUGAACCGCAUGGUUCAAAAGUAAAAGACGGUCUUGCUGUCACUUAUAGAUGGAUCCGCGCUGCAUUAGCUAGUUGGUAAGGUAACGGCUUACCAAGGCAACGAUGCAUAGCCGACCUGAGAGGGUGAUCGGCCACACUGGAACUGAGACACGGUCCAGACUCCUACGGGAGGCAGCAGUAGGGAAUCUUCCGCAAUGGGCGAAAGCCUGACGGAGCAACGCCGCGUGAGUGAUGAAGGUCUUCGGAUCGUAAAACUCUGUUAUUAGGGAAGAAUAUAUGUGUAAGUAACUGUGCACAUCUUGACGGUACCUAAUCAGAAAGCCACGGCUAACUACGUGCCAGCAGCCGCGGUAAUACGUAGGUGGCAAGCGUUAUCCGGAAUUAUUGGGCGUAAAGCGCGCGUAGGCGGUUUUUUAAGUCUGAUGUGAAAGCCCACGGCUCAACCGUGGAGGGUCAUUGGAAACUGGAAAACUUGAGUGCAGAAGAGGAAAGUGGAAUUCCAUGUGUAGCGGUGAAAUGCGCAGAGAUAUGGAGGAACACCAGUGGCGAAGGCGACUUUCUGGUCUGUAACUGACGCUGAUGUGCGAAAGCGUGGGGAUCAAACAGGAUUAGAUACCCUGGUAGUCCACGCCGUAAACGAUGAGUGCUAAGUGUUAGGGGGUUUCCGCCCCUUAGUGCUGCAGCUAACGCAUUAAGCACUCCGCCUGGGGAGUACGACCGCAAGGUUGAAACUCAAAGGAAUUGACGGGGACCCGCACAAGCGGUGGAGCAUGUGGUUUAAUUCGAAGCAACGCGAAGAACCUUACCAAAUCUUGACAUCCUUUGACAACUCUAGAGAUAGAGCCUUCCCCUUCGGGGGACAAAGUGACAGGUGGUGCAUGGUUGUCGUCAGCUCGUGUCGUGAGAUGUUGGGUUAAGUCCCGCAACGAGCGCAACCCUUAAGCUUAGUUGCCAUCAUUAAGUUGGGCACUCUAAGUUGACUGCCGGUGACAAACCGGAGGAAGGUGGGGAUGACGUCAAAUCAUCAUGCCCCUUAUGAUUUGGGCUACACACGUGCUACAAUGGACAAUACAAAGGGCAGCGAAACCGCGAGGUCAAGCAAAUCCCAUAAAGUUGUUCUCAGUUCGGAUUGUAGUCUGCAACUCGACUACAUGAAGCUGGAAUCGCUAGUAAUCGUAGAUCAGCAUGCUACGGUGAAUACGUUCCCGGGUCU
rnacentral:rRNA from 1 species